UAAGGCACGAUGGAAACUAAUUCCAAAAAUCUUCAGAGAAAUGUUAGAACUUCUCUUAUUCGUCUAUAAACGAGCGUUUCGAUAUGGAACCCUGGAAUGUACGAACGACAAAUUCCAAUACUCGGAAGUUUGCCGAAACCGAAACCCUGAUAGUUCAGAAACCCUAGAAUCAACGGACGAUGAAGACUUUUUCUGUUCGGAGCUUCAAACGAAGAUUCCACACGCGUAGACCCAUUUCUUUCGAUGAUUCCAAUCUUUCUUCAGAAGGAAGUUUCUUCAUCCGACGUCAAACGCAAAAAGUAGUUUUGCGGCAUAUUUCAACCCAUACUACGUUCAAGCUAUUUUCUCACUUAAAUGAACCAGGAACAAGUAUCGACAUUUUAUAGAGAGAUACUUAACUCUGAUGCAUAAUAUGACAACUUCAUAUUUAUUCUGAUCGUCUCACAAAUAUUAUUUAGCUCAGUUUUUACUCAUUUCUUUGUCCAUGGAUCAUUUUAAUUUGCUCAAAGUGAUCCAAACUUAUAUUUCAUUAUUUCAUAGAGUCUCUCAUAAUUUUUGGUAUAGUAAUAUAUCAACUCUAUAUUUUUCUCUUAACUUUGUGAGCUAAAUUCUUCAGUGUCUAAAUCAAUUCGUACCGGUUUUAUAAAUAUCUUCCCUAAAUAUCUAAUAAUCCAUCCUCAUCCUCUGUGACUCACGUUCACUCCCUCCUUUUCUUUCAUUUGUCACGUUUCUUUCUUUCUCUUGCAGCAGACCAUAAUCUUUCUUUCUUAUUCUUCUUCUUCUCUAUUUCUAUAUAUAUAUAUCUUACCACUUGUUGCAACUCACGUUCUCUCUCUCAGAAGCAUCACCACCAGACUUCAAUAUUUAUUCAUUUCCUUUCUUUUUAUUUCUUUUGCUGCAGCUCCCCAAUUCUUUCCACUUAUUCUUCCUCUCUUUUCUUUCCCCUGGGCAGCAUAAAAAAACGCACAUCAUGGUCCCUUUUCCUCCCUCACGUGAUUCCACUCUUGUGCAGCACCAUCAUCUUCAUCUUCCAAUUUUAUGGGUACGAAGGACGAAAACGCCUUGCGACGAAGCUAAAGAAUAGAAGGAAGCGAGCCGACGCGGAAAACAAAGAUGUGAUAGGAUUGGAGUUGCAGUUUAGGAAGAAAAUUGGCUAAGAUGUCGUCGAUGGAUUCUUUCGUGAUUCUUCGUCAUUCGGGGAAGACCCGGAGCGAAAUGACUACUACUGAGCCUUUGACGUGGACCCGGACUUCAUGCAUGACCAGAGGGGAGUCGAUGAUGGAAGUAUGGGGGAUGGGUGAUUAGGGUCUAUUAAGGUUGGGUGUUAGUGUCCUAGCUCUGACUUAUUCUUAUUUUUGAGGGCUUGUGUUGCUGACACUUGACCUAACAUUUUGGGAUUGUACAUUUUGCCUACGGGCGUUACACUUUUCUACUUUCCGUCAUUGGAGGUUACUCAUGACGAGGUCGCUAUUUACAGCGGGGGAUGCUAUAUAUAUUGUAUAUUAGUUCUGUUGCCUUUCGCA